UCCUGAGCUGUGUGCUGCCAAGUUGUUCUUGCAGCAGUGUUAAAGGUAAAGGCUAGAGCUAAGCCCUGGCUUCAAUAAGUGAAGGACAUAUGUGAUGCCAUGUGCAGAGUAGAUCAGAAGAGCGUCCU